CUGGAAUGAUUCAUGGCUCAAACCUACAUGGCCCCUGGAUUGGACUGCGGCCGAUCAGGCUGUUGGUGAGGUAAUGGCCCACCAAACCUGUUACCGGUACGGGCUCUGAGAGGAGGAGCCCGGAGAUGGGCACUGAGACAAGGGCCCAGGCCCUAUGGGGCGCAGCAGGCGCGAAACCUCUGCAAUAGGGGAGAGCCUGACAGGGUUACUCUGAGUGAUUUCCGCUAAGGGAAUCUUUUGGCACCUCUAAAAAUGGUGCAGAAUAAGGGGUGGGCAAGUCUGGUGUCAGCCGCCGCGGUAAUACCAGCACCCCGAGUGGUCGGGACGAUUAUUGGGCCUAAAGCAUCCGUAGCCGGUCCUACAAGUCUUCCGUUAAAUCCAGCUGCUUAACAGAUGGGCCGCGGGAGAUACUACAGGGCUAGGAGGCGGGAGAGGCAAGCGGUACUUUAUGGGUAGGGGUAAAAUCCGCUGAUCCAUAGAAGA
rnacentral:rRNA from 1 species